rnacentral:misc_RNA from 1 species
AUCGUUGCCCAAUGCCUAUUGCAGUGCGAUAUGGAAUUGGGCGAAUGAUGGCUUCCCGUGAGCAUUGUUGCCUCGCGGUUGGUUGAAAAUUGAGUCCUUGGUAGGUGUGCCAUGAUAGAUGGUGGUCGAGUUAUCACGAGACCCAUCAUGUGCAUGCUCCCCAAAAUGUGGCCUCUAUGACCCACACGCGUCUUUUUUGACGCUCA